UACGUAGGGUGCGAGCGUUAAUCGGAAUUACUGGGCGUAAAGCGUGCGCAGGCGGUUUGCUAAGACCGAUGUGAAAUCCCCGGGCUUAACCUGGGAACUGCAUUGGUGACUGGCAAGCUAGAGUGUGGCAGAGGGGGGUAGAAUUCCACGUGUAGCAGUGAAAUGCGUAGAGAUGUGGAGGAAUACCGAUGGCGAAGGCAGCCCCCUGGGCCAACACUGACGCUCAGGCACGAAAGCGUGGGGAGCAAACAGG
rnacentral:rRNA from 1 species